UACGAAGGGGGCUAGCGUUGCUCGGAAUCACUGGGCGUAAAGCGCACGUAGGCGGAUCUUUAAGUCAGGGGUGAAAUCCCAAGGCUCAACCUUGGAACUGCCUUUGAUACUGGGGAUCUCGAGUCCGGAAGAGGUGAGUGGAACUGCGAGUGUAGAGGUGAAAUUCGUAGAUAUUCGCAAGAACACCAGUGGCGAAGGCGGCUCACUGGUCCGGUACUGACGCUGAGGCGCGAAAGCUAGGGGAGCAAACGGG
rnacentral:rRNA from 1 species